rnacentral:rRNA from 1 species
AACGAACGCUGGCGGCAUGCCUAACACAUGCAAGUCGAACGAACCCUUCGGGGUUAGUGGCGCACGGGUGCGUAACGCGUGGGAAUCUGCCCUUUGCUUCGGAAUAACUCAGGGAAACUUGUGCUAAUACCGGAUGAUGUCUUCGGACCAAAGAUUUAUCGGCAAGGGAUGAGCCCGCGUAGGAUUAGGUAGUUGGUGGGGUAAAGGCCUACCAAGCCGACGAUCCUUAGCUGGUCUGAGAGGAUGAUCAGCCACACUGGGACUGAGACACGGCCCAGACUCCUACGGGAGGCGGCAGUGGGGAAUAUUGGACGAUGGGCGCAAGCCUGAUCCAGCAAUGCCGCGUGAGUGAUGAAGGCCCUCGGGUCGUAAAGCUCUUUUACCAGGGAUGAUAAUGACAGUACCUGGAGAAUAAGCUCCGGCUAACUCCGUG